UUCCCCAGAGUCUACGUGGUGAUUCAGCUGUCAGUGGGCUGGUGGCCGACGAUAGCCUGUCACCUGCAGACCCCAGCUGCACCUGCAGUUGUCACCUCCGUAGCAACCUAGAUUGAGCCACCCACCCAGUACAGGGAAGGAAGAAAGCCGAGAGGAAUCUGGGUGUGGAGGUUCUUUUAAUGCACAAUGAGAUCUCACCCUUUUAAAUGUGGACAAGUUUCUAGAUGUGAAUGGUGCCGACAAAUCUAUAUUUAAGCAUCACAAACUCAUUGUAUCCCCGUGGAAAAGCAGAGAAAUAGGGGCUGGAUGACACAGCGUGCAGGAGGCCGACGAGUGCUGCCGCUGUCUGAGGAGGGUGAAUGACUUUUUCCUAGGCCUUCUACAUAGUAAGCCCACACUGAUAAUAAGCUGUGAAGGUAGAUGCAGAGCCCCUCUAGUCUGUCUCACAGACUCCACAGUGCUGGAGUAUAUCCUCAAAAGCCAAGGAGUAUAUCCUCAAAAGCCAAGUACUUUCUACGGGGAGAAGGAGAUA